AUGAGUAGGACAUAAAUCACCAUGAACAUGAAUAUCAUAGAGGCUAUGUUGAUUUUGUUUCAACUACAUGCGUGAACAUGCGCCAAGUCAAGCUACUUGUAUCAUUCAAAGGAGGAUACCAUCCUAUCAUACUACAUCAUAGUCAUCUCAACAUUCAUGUGAGCAUCCAAGACAAACCAUUAUAAGCUCCUAGCUAAUUAAGCAUGGC
rnacentral:lncRNA from 1 species